rnacentral:rRNA from 1 species
UACGUAGGGUGCAAGCGUUAAUCGGAAUUACUGGGCGUAAAGCGUGCGCAGGCGGUUUUGCAAGACAGAUGUGAAAUCCCCGGGCUAACCUGGGAACUGCAUUUGUGACUGCAUCGCUGGAGUGCGGCAGAGGGGGAUGGAAUUCCGGCGUGUAGCAGUGAAAUGCGUAGAUAUGCGGAGGAACACCGAUGGCGAAGGCAAUCCCCUGGGCCUGCACUGACGCUCAUGCACGAAAGCGUGGGGAGCAAACAGG